AAGAUCAUACUUCACAGGAUCAGUUCUGUAGUUGAUCAGUUCUUUCUCUCUGUUCAAACUGAGAGUCGAUGCAACCACGAUGAGGAGGCGUAGCUCCUUUCCCUGAGCGUGAGGAAGACUNGAGAGUCGAUGCAACCACGAUGAGGAGGCGUAGCUCCUUUCCCUGAGCGUGAGGAAGACUCGGGAAGUUGACUUUGUUCAAUUUCUCAGUCAUCGAUGAUCGUUCAUCCCUUGUACUUCGUGCAAGGGAGGUGGGAAGUGGAGCUUUCUGAGUGGC